rnacentral:rRNA from 1 species
UACAGAGGGUGCAAGCGUUAAUCGGAGUUACUGGGCGUAAAGGGCACGUAGGCGGUCGUAUAAGUCAGUUGUGAAAUCCCCGGGCUUAACCUGGGAACUGCAGCUGAUACUGUAUGACUCGAGUCGAAGAGAGGGAAGCGGAAUUUCCGGUGUAGCGGUGAAAUGCGUAGAUAUCGGAAGGAACAUCUGUGGCGAAGGCGGCUUCCUGGCUUCAGACUGACGCUGAGGUGCGAAAGCGUGGGUAGCGAACAGG